AGAAAACGGGCUCACUGCAGCUAAAAGCCUCACCGCUUGGGUUAGGAAGCCACGGGAGCAAAACCUCCGCCCCGGCCUGAAAGCAACCGGGAGACCGCGGAGCUACUGCCACCGACUCAGCCCUGCCCAGCAGGGGCCCGCCCAGGGGCCACUCCCCAAGGGAGGCAGCCAGUCACUCGCCCGCCCUUCCGGGCCCACUCCCGAGGGGACGGUCUCCCGCCCGCCCUCACACACAGCUAGCUCCUCAGGCCAGGCCCCCAGGGUUUCGUCCACCUCUCACCUUUGACGACGCGAAUCAAGAAUGAGGAGGUGCUGCGAUGAACGACUGCGAGAAAACACACCCGCUCUCAUGGCAUUCCCAGUAAACUGAGGAGACGUGAUUAAACCUCAGGAUCUCCUACUAAUAGAGAAAUGUAUAACGAUUUAGCUACCAGAUCUGAACACUGAAGGGUUGGCAGGGGACCAGAGAAUAGAGGAAGCAUUGUAGGUUCUAGAGUGGAGAAGGGACCAUCCAAAAUGGAGUUUGAAAGAGAAUUCUGGCCUUUGUGUUUAGAGUCUGGAAUUGUUAAGAGUCUGAAGGCACAGAAUAAGACUGCAGCUAGAGCAAUUUAGGCGCCAUAGUUUGUCAAAACAGGUAAGGGGAAUAAAGGGGAUGACACAAUCAGAAGAAUUCACCUGAAAAGGAUACAGCCUCCUCCUGGAAGUCAGAGGAGUAAAUAGGGAAUUGGAAAUUAAUUCCUUAUUUCUGUGCAUGCACAGAAUCUGGGCCCAGGUGACUUAUGGAACCUUUAUAGAGACCAAGGUGACUGACAUUCAUGGGAAAGGGGGUAGAGGGGCAAUAACUGACUGUUCGUCAAAAAUUAUUAGACGAGUGUGUCCACGACACCAGGAGAUAUGUUGAAUCAUGGACAGG
rnacentral:antisense_RNA from 1 species